rnacentral:rRNA from 1 species
UCCACGCCGUAAACGAUGGGCACUAGGUGUUGCGGGUAACCACUCCUGCAGUGCCGAAGCUAACGCAUUAAGUGCCCCGCCUGGGGAGUACGGCCGCAAGGCUAAAACUCAAAGGAGUUGACGGGGGCCCGCACAAGCGGUGGAGCAUGUGGUUUAAUUCGACGCAACGCGAAGAACCUUACCUGGAUUUGACAUCCCGAUCGUACCCCUUGGAAACUUGGGGGUCAGCUUGG